CUUCUGCCUCUCCCUCUCCUCUCUCUGCCUCUCCCUCUCCUUCUCUCUCUGCCUCUCCCUCUCCUUCUCUCUCUGCCUCUCCCUCUCCUUCUCUCUCUGCCUCUCCCUCUCUCUCUGCCUCUCCCUCUCCUUCUCUCUCUGCCUCUCCCUCUCCUUCUCUCUCUGCCUCUCCCUCUCUCUCUGCCUCUCCCUCUCCUUCUCUCUCUGCCUCUCCCUCUCCUUCUCUCUCUGCCUCUCCCUCUGAAUGUAACGAUAAGAGGAAAGGAGAAAGGAGUAAUACUUUCUGACUGACUAUAAAUAAAAGGGCGGAACGGAUUGGCUGGGUGGGACUGUACUGUAGGUUACUGGGUCCCUUCCCACUAUAACUGCCUGGUCUCUGUGUGUCUCUCUGUGUGUCUCUGUGUGUGUGUGUGUGUCUCUCUCUCUCUCUCUUUCUCUCUCUAGUCAAUUCAAUUCAAGGGGCUUUAUUGGCAUGGGAAACAUAUGUUAACAUAAAUAUGGGUUGUAUCUCACGGUCUCUCACACCUUCUCAUGUCUGAUCACAAAUCACACAGGAUCUUUUAUAGAAGAUAACGAUCGUUUAGAUAUGGAUUGGAUCAAGGCGCAGUGUGGAAGAUGUACAUCUUUCUUUAUUUUGAUGAACAUCAAAAAAUAUAUAUACAUAAACAAACGUAAAGUUCUGCAGGGCUAGACAGCAACUAUACAAAAUCAAGAUCCCACAACAGAAGGUGGGAAAAAGGGCUGCCUAAGUAUGAUUCCCAAUCAGAGACAACGAUAGACAGCUGCCCCUGAUUGGAAACCAUACUCGGCUAACAAAGAAAUAGAAAAACUAGAAUGCCCAGCCAAAUCACACCCUAAGGUCAGGGCGUGACACUAAGGUCAGGGCGUGACACUAAAGUCAGGGCGUGACACUAAGGUCAGGGCGUGACACUAAGGUCAGGGCGUGACACUAAGGUCAGGGCGUGACACUAAGGUCAGGGCGUGGCACUAAGGUCAGGGCGUGACACUAAGGUCAGGGCGUGACACUAAGGUCAGGGCGUGACACUAAGGUCAGGGCGUGGCACUAAGGUCAGGGCGUGACACUAAGGUCAGGGCGUGACACUAAGGUCAGGGCGUGACACUAAGGUCAGGGCGUGACACUAAGGUCAGGGCGUGACACUAAGGUCAGGGCGUGACACUAAGGUCAGGGCGUGACACUAAGGUCAGGGCGUGACACUAAGGUCAGGGCGUGGCACUAAGGUCAGGGUGUAUAGUAAGUUACCUUUUCUUGCUGAAACACUGACACACUAGGAUUAGAAGCAGCUUUUUAAAAACAACAACUUGCAGACAGACAUCACAAAGUGUAAACUAAGAAGAAAAAAAUGUAUAAAUGUGUAUAGUUCAUAAUGUCAUUUUUUUGCCUUGUUUUUGUUUUUGAGAAACGUAUUGCCUCGACUCCCUGCAGAUCCUCUUCAGCACCAGACUGGCACUUUGUGUUGAAGUGGUGUUCUCUGUGUUGUUGUGUUGUCUUCGCCAUGUUGAAGUGGUGUUCUCUGUGUUGUUGUGUUGUCUUCGCCAUGUUGAAGUGGUGUUCUCUGUGUUGUUGUGUUGUCUUCGCCAUGUUGAAGUGGUGUUCUCUGUGUUGUUGUGUUGUCUUCGCCAUGUUCCACCAAUCAGCCAAUUUACAACACAGCCAUCCAUCCGUGACCCAAGAUGAAA